CUAUAGUGAUGUUUCUGCUUUUGCUUCUAUCAAAAUCCCAAGUUAGACAGAAAAAGAUGAAGGGUCUUGCUCUGUCACGCAGGGUGAAAUGCAGUGGAACCAUCAUGACUCACUACAGCUUCAGCCUCCCAGACUCAAGUGAUCCUCCCACCUCAGCUUGUUGAGUAGAUGGGACUACAGAUGCACAUCACCAUGCCCAGCUAACUUUUUAUUUUUUGCAGAAGCAGGAUCUCACCAUAUUUUCCAGGCUGGUAUCUAACUUCUGGGCUCAAGUGAUCUACCUAACUUGGCCUCCCAAAGUGCUGGAUUAUAGGCAUGAACCACCAUGACCUGAUGAAAGAAAUUUUUUUAAACCAAACUGUUUUACCCAAAAUUUUAAUCCAGAGCUUUCAUUAGAUGACAUAUCAGAGAAAAUAAAGUUGAGCCAUAUAAACAUGUCUCUUUUAG
rnacentral:lncRNA from 1 species